ensembl:lncRNA
AUGGACUUCCUGCUCUCUUCUACUACAGGUCAUCUAAAGUGUAUGGACUUCCUGCUCUCUUCUACUACAGGUCAUCUAAAGUGUAUGGACUUCCUGCUGUUUUUUUUACAGUUAAUUUACUUCCUGCUCUCUUCUUCUUCUACAGAUCAUCUAAAGUGUAUGGACUUCCUGCUGUCUUCUACUACAGAUCAUCUAAAGUGUAUGGACUUCCUGCUGUCUUCUUCUUCUACAGGUCAUCUAAAGUGUAUGGACUUCCUGCUGUCUUCUUCUUCUACAGGUCAUCUAAAGUGUAUGGACUUCCUGCUGUCUUCUUCUACUACAUGUCAUCUAAAGUGUAUGGACUUCCUGCUGUCUUCUUCUUCUACAGGUCAUCUAAAGUGUAUGGACUUCCUGCUCUCUUCUUCUUCUACAGGUCAUCUAAAGUGUAUGGACUUCCUGCUGUCUUCUUCUUCUACAGGUGGACUUCCUGCUGUCUUGCCAUUGACUGCAUUGUUGUUUCCACCAGCAGGACAACAUGAGUGGAGAGAAGGAAACAUUGUUGGAAGAAAUGGAACAGAGUUUACACCCUCUAACGGAGGAUAAUUUACGACACCUGUGUGAGCGCUGUGGAAUAGAUGGCUCCCAAGUUAAAGGAAAGAACCAUCGCUCGUUGCGACGUAAAAUCAUGGAGGAAAUGUGGGAAAAUGCAGAUUCAGUCAAAUCGGAGGAGCUUGGAAUGUCUUGGUUACUCCGACUGAAAGAUGACAUCAGAAAGAUGCAUGAAGAAUCUACUGUGGCACCCAUGAGUUCCAGCCAGUCUGAUGAUGACGACGACGAUGCUACAACCUGCGGCGAGGAAUGGGACAAGGAUUGGUUUCCUAGCAACGGGCUGGAGGCGGAGUCAUCUCCAGAGAGCCAUACCCCAGAGAGUUCCAGCCAGUCUGAUGAUGACGAAACGGGUAAGAAGAAUGGGGUCGCGGCAGGGGUCCAUGUGGGUCACGGGAUGAAAAUAGCAAUGAUAAAAAAUACAUUUUAUAAAUAGAUCUCCGGGAUGGAAGAGCGCUGUUAGUGUAAACGACUGAAACCAAAUAAAAUAUGUAGAAAAAAAGAAUGGAGGAAAAGGGUUAGGGUUAUAUAUAUAUAUAUAUAUAUAUCUUUUUUUUCUCCAUAUAUACUUUUCAAUAAUAGGCUGUGAUCUAUGAAGAACUUUUGAAAGAGAAAAAGCUCCUAGACAAUCGGGCCCUUUGAUAGAGUUCUAAUGUUUGAGCAUAAGAAUACAGCAUUAGCCCAUGUCACAAUGGGUAGAAUUGUAGGAAAUGAUCUUAAAACGGCAACAUGUUCUUUCAGUUCCAUAUGGCAGUGUGUGUGUAUAUGUUUUCACUGCCCAACCCUUAUUGGUUGGUUGUGACUCGAUACAUCUGUAUUGGUGGGUCAAGAAGCAAAAAAAAAAAAAAAACUACAAUCUGCUUCUGUAACAGUUCAUUGAUUGGUCAAUAUUUAUUAAUUGACCCGAAUUUGCUCAACGUAACUAUUCAAUGUUGUAUAGCAGCUCAUCUGUGUUGGAUGGGGAAGAUACUUCAACACUAGGUCAUUGUUAAGUACUUUGGUGCAUGUGAGGAACCUUAACUUCAUAUCUCUGUUUCACAGGGGACAACCCUAACGGUCGCUCGCUCAGUGGGAGGGUCUUAUCGUCUGGGAAGGCUCCAGGGUUGAAAGUGAUCCAGCGACCUUAUAGCUGUGAUGUAUGUGAGAAGAGUUUCACUCAAUCAGGAAACCUACGAAGACACCAAACGGUACACACAGGAGAGAAACCUUGCAGUUGUGAUCAUUGUGGGAAGAGUUUUGCUCAUCCAGGAGCCCUGACUAUUCACAAGCAUGUACACACAGGAGAGAAACCUUACAGCUGUGAUCAGUGUGGGAAAAGCUUUUCUCAUCCAGGAGCCCUGACUAUUCACAAGCGUGUACACACUGGAGAGAAACCUUACAGCUGUGAUCAAUGUGAGAGGAGCUGCAGAGAUG